rnacentral:misc_RNA from 1 species
AGCAGCCGCGGUAAUUCCAGCUCCAAUAGCGUAUAUUAAAGUUGCUGCAGUUAAAAAGCUCGUAGUUGAAUUUCGGGACUAAUAUGUCGGUCGUGCCUCGGUACGUACUGGUUUAUUGGUUUCUCCUUUCUGAAGAACCAUGAUGUCAUUUAUUUGGUGUCGUGGGGAAUCAGGACUGUUACUUUGAAAAAAUUAGAGUGUUUAAAGCAGGCUCACGCUUGAAUACAUUAGCAUGGAAUAAUGAAAUAGGACGUUUGAUUCUAUUUUGUUGGUUUCUAGGAUCGACGUAAUGAUUAAUAGGGAUAGUUGGGGGCAUUAGUAUUCAAUUGUCAGAGGUGAAAUUCUUGGAUUUAUUGAAGACUAACUACUGCGAAAGCAUUUGCCAAGGAUGUUUUCAUUAAUCAAGAACGAAAGUUAGGGGAUCGAAGACGAUCAGAUACCGUCGUAGUCUUAACCAUAAACUAUGCCGACUAGGGAUCGGAUGAUGUCAAUUUUUUAAUGACU